rfam:Taenia asiatica genome assembly, scaffold: TASK_contig0003529
AUCGCUUCUCGGCUCUCUGAGCUAAGAUCAUGUGUAGUAUCUGUUCUUUGCAGUGUAAUUUCUGCAACGGUCCCUAAUUUGGGACCAAUGAAAUUACCUGUAUUUUUCCAACCAGGACGGGUGCUGUGAGCUUGCUCAACCCCGUCCACGGGUCGGCCUCGUAUUGCAUUACCUCGAGGAUUGGCCCAUUAAUG